UAAAGCCCGAUCCCAAAAGUUGGACAGAAAACCCUAAGCUCUCGCGCGGCCUCCAUCUCACUCGAACUCGCCUUCAUUCUGAACUCACCCCAAACUGGAUCUCCUCCCAAACCCUACCUCCAUCUCCUCCCUUCCUUCCUUCAUCUACGUCCUCAGCUUCUUCGGCAUCAACUCCGUCCAGUCCGGCAUCGACUCUGUCCAGUCCGUCCUCAGCUUAUUCAUCGAAGCAUUUCUAAACAGCGCCGUUCCGUCUUAGCCUCUAGAAUCGAAGCAAGAGAGCGGCGGCCAGUCGGCGAGACUCACUUCAGAGAACGACUCUGUUGUGGGAUUCGAAGGAUUUGCCUGUCGAAGGAUUCUAGGAGUCGCCGGUCGGAGACGAAGUAAUCUUACUUGUGAGCGAUUGCGUUUGGGGAGUUGAGCGACUAUUCAGAGUUGUGAUCGACAAGCAGGUCAUUUACUCGAGCCCCUCUUUUUAUUUUUUGCUCUUCCAUGUUUUCAUUUGUGAAGUUUGUUUGAUUUUGGGCGAAAACAUAGAGGACCUACAUCGAUUUCCUGGCUUGUAGCCGCUGCAGCCUUAAACCGCUAAGUCGGGGUUUUAAGGCAAAAGAAACCCAACCUUGUCCAGAGGUUAGAGACGGCGGGACUGUGGCAGGAGACGAAUGGCUGCUCUGAAAUUUCCGAUUCCUCGAAAUAAGAUGGAGCAAUAAGCAAUGUCAAGCAUUCCCCAAAUUGCAGAUAACCGAAAUUUCAAAGCUUUCGUCUUCAAAUUUGAUCUCAAUCAGUAGAGAAUUAGGGAUUUGAUUUUCCAAUUUUGGGUGCGAAAAGGUGGACCAGAAAGAGAAGAUAAGGUCUCUUUGGAGCUGACAGAGGAGAUUCUCCGAAGCAUGGAAGUUGGGCUGGCUUUCAGGGACUACGUUACUUGAUAGAAAAGAUUGAAUUUGAAAAUCUACUUCACAAAGCUUCAGUGUCUUUUUGUGCAACUCGAGUUGCUUCUUCAGGCCAUGGUGGGUAUUCGUAUCUCUUGGAGCCUCUGUGCUGGUUGGGAUUGAUUACAAACUAAUCAACUCUUGUAACGAACAAGUAGUAUGUGUUUUAUUCCAACAUUGGUAGGUAAGCUGGAUUUCAGGAUCCUCAUUUCAAGAGCAUUGUUCAGUUAUGUUGUUCAUUUGUAAACACUUGACAGCUACUUGUGUCAUUUUAUGCUCGAACUUUGGUAAGACUUGUUAUGCUAAUUUGUUCCUCUGUUUUGUAUAUGCAGAGCAGGACAUAAGUUAGAAGCUGCUAUUUAUCGAUAUUACUGGCAAAGUAGCUCUUGAUUCAUGCUGGUCAACUGGUGGAUUUACCGACUGUUUACUUCAGUAUGGUGCAUUGUUUGUUUAUGGACUUGAUAUUGGAUAUGGCCAGGUUGCAGAUGAACUUGUAGCAGAGUUUUCUGACCCUAUCAAUGGUGUCACAUCCCCUGAUCAAAUUGACGAGGUGCGCAUUGAAGUGACUGAUUAUAUACAGAGUUUGAUGUAGGAAUGUGACUGCCAAAAUGUUUUUUUAGUAAGGCUAGCUAGUUUUGGCUUUGAAGCAAAGCUUGGUGUGGAACUUUUGUACAUUGUUGCUCGUAUGUUUCCAAGCUAGCUUUUGUAAGUUUAGGGGUUUAUUUUGUGAAUUAUGUUGAAUCAUGAAUUUGGAAAGAAAAUUAAUGGGAAAGCCCCUUAUUUUGGAUGAUGAGAAAUGUAA